UGCCAGCCGCCGCGGUAAUACGGGGGAUGCAAGCGUUAUUCGGAAUCAUUGGGCGUAAAGGGCACGCAGGCGGUCUUGUCAGUCAGAUGUGAAAGCCCGGGGCUCAACCUCGGACGUGCAUUUGAAACAGCAAGACUUGAGUACGGUAGAGGAAAGCGGAAUUCCUGGUGUAGAGGUGAAGUUCGUAGAUAUCAGGAGGAACACCGAUGGCGAAGGCAUCUCUCUGGGCCGAUAUUGACGCUGAGGCGCGAAGGCGUGGGUAGCGAACGGGAUUAGCUA
rnacentral:rRNA from 1 species